GAUGAACGCUGGCGGCGUGCCUAAUACAUGCAAGUCGAGCGAACAGACGAGGAGCUUGCUCCUCUGACGUUAGCGGCGGACGGGUGAGUAACACGUGGAUAACCUACCUAUAAGACUGGGAUAACUUCGGGAAACCGGAGCUAAUACCGGAUAAUAUAUUGAACCGCAUGGUUCAAUAGUGAAAGACGGUUUUGCUGUCACUUAUAGAUGGAUCCGCGCCGCAUUAGCUAGUUGGUAAGGUAACGGCUUACCAAGGCAACGAUGCGUAGCCGACCUGAGAGGGUGAUCGGCCACCCUGGAAAUGAGACACGGUCCAGACUCCUACGGGAGGCCGCAGUAGGGAAUCUUCCGGCAUGGGCGAAAGCCUGACGGAGCAACGGCGCGUGAGUGAUGAAGGUCUUCGGAUCGUAAAACUCUGUUAUUAGGGAAGAACAAAUGUGUAAGUAACUAUGCACGUCUUGACGGUACCUAAUCAGAAAGCCACGGCUAACUACGUG
rnacentral:rRNA from 1 species